rnacentral:rRNA from 1 species
GAUGAACGCUGGCGGCGUGCUUAACACAUGCAAGUCGAGCGAGAAGUUUUGAAAAGAUUCUUCGGAUGAAAUUUAAAAUGGAAAGCGGCGGACGGGUGAGUAACGCGUAGGCAACCUGCCCCAUACAAAGGGAUAGCAUUUGGAAACGAAUAUUAAUACCUUAUGAAACUUAACUAGUGCAUGCUAGGUAGGUCAAAGAUUUAUCGGUAUGGGAUGGGCCUGCGUCUGAUUAGCUAGUUGGUGAGGUAACGGCUCACCAAGGCGACGAUCAGUAGCCGACCUGAGAGGGUGAACGGCCACAUUGGAACUGAGACACGGUCCAAACUCCUACGGGAGGCAGCAGUGGGGAAUAUUGCACCAUGGGGGAAACCCUGAUGCAGCAACGCCGCGUGAACGAUGAAGGCCUUUGGGUCGUAAAGUUCUGUUCUAGGUGAUGAAAACUGACAGUAACCUAGGAGAAAGCCCCGGCUAACUCCGUG